GUACCCCGAGGAAAAGAAAUCAACCGAGAUUCCGAAAGUAGCGGCGAGCGAAAUUGGACUAGCCCUUAAGCUUUACACGUGUUAGACGAACGGUCUGGAAAGUCCGACGAUACAGGGUGAUAGUCCCGUAGUUGACGACGUGUGUUCAGUGAAAUCGAGUAGGGCGGGACACGUGAUAUCCUGUCUGAAUAUGGGGGGACCAUCCUCCAAGGCUAAAUACUACUGACUGACCGAUAGUGAACCAGUACCGUGAGGGAAAGGCGAAAAGAACCCCUGUGAGGGGAGUGAAAUAGAACCUGAAACCGUGUACGUACAAGCAGUAGGAGCAGGCUUUGUCCUGUGACUGCGUACCUUUUGUAUAAUGGGUCAGCGACUUAUAUUCAGUGGCAAGGUUAACCAUCUAGGGGAGCCGUAGGGAAACCGAGUCUUAACUGGGCGUUCAGUCUCUGGAUAUAGACCCGAAACCAGGUGAUCUAGCCAUGGGCAGGUUGAAGGUUGAGUAACAUCAACUGGAGGACCGAACCGACUAAUGUUGAAAAAUUAGCGGAUGACUUGUGGCUAGGGGUGAAAGGCCAAUCAAACCUGGAGAUAGCUGGUUCUCCCCGAAAGCUAUUUAGGUAGCGCCUCGGACGAAUACUACUGGGGGUAGAGCACUGUUAAGGCUAGGGGGUCAUCCCGACUUACCAACCCUUUGCAAACUCCGAAUACCAGUAAGUACUAUCCGGGAGACACACGGCGGGUGCUAACGUCCGUCGUGGAGAGGGAAACAACCCAGACCGCCAGCUAAGGUCCCAAAUUACUACUAAGUGGGAAACGAUGUGGGAAGGCUCAGACAGCCAGGAUGUUGGCUUAGAAGCAGCCAUCAUUUAAAGAAAGCGUAAUAGCUCACUGGUCGAGUCGGCCUGCGCGGAAGAUGUAACGGGGCUAAGUAGUAAACCGAAGCUGCGGCAAUGUGCUUUUGCACAUUGGGUAGGGGAGCGUUCUGUAAGCGGUUGAAGGUGUGUGGUAACGCAUGCUGGACGUAUCAGAAGUGCGAAUGCUGACAUGAGUAACGAUAAAGGGGGUGAAAAACCUCCUCGCCGGAAGACCAAGGGUUCCUGUCCAACGUUAAUCGGGGCAGGGUAAGUCGACCCCUAAGGCGAGGCCGAAAGGCGUAGUCGAUGGGAAACGGGUUAAUAUUCCCGUACUUCUUACAAUUGCGAUGGGGGGACGGAGAAGGCUAGGUGGGCCUGGCGACGGUUGUCCAGGUUCAAGUGCGUAGGCUUGAGAGUUAGGUAAAUCCGGCUCUUUUUAAGGCUGAGACACGACGUCGAGCAUCUACGGAUGUGAAGUCAUUGAUGCCAUGCUUCCAGGAAAAGCCUCUAAGCUUCAGAUUGUAAGGAAUCGUACCCCAAACCGACACAGGUGGUCGGGUAGAGAAUACCAAGGCGCUUGAGAGAACUCGGGUGAAGGAACUAGGCAAAAUGGUACCGUAACUUCGGGAGAAGGUACGCUCUCGACGGUGAAGUCCCUCGCGGAUGGAGCUAUUGAGAGUCGCAGAUACCAGGUGGCUGCAACUGUUUAUUAAAAACACAGCACUGUGCAAAAUCGUAAGAUGACGUAUACGGUGUGACGCCUGCCCGGUGCCGGAAGGUUAAUUGAUGGGGUUAGACUUCGGUCGAAGCUCUUGAUCGAAGCCCCGGUAAACGGCGGCCGUAACUAUAACGGUCCUAAGGUAGCGAAAUUCCUUGUCGGGUAAGUUCCGACCUGCACGAAUGGCGUAAUGAUGGCCACGCUGUCUCCACCCGAGACUCAGUGAAAUUGAAAUCGCUGUGAAGAUGCAGUGUACCCGCGGCUAGACGGAAAGACCCCGUGAACCUUUACUACAGCUUGGCACUGAACAUUGACCCUACAUGUGUAGGAUAGGUGGGAGGCUUUGAAACACGUACGCCAGUAUGUGUGGAGCCGUCCUUGAAAUACCACCCUUGUAGUGUUGAUGUUCUAACGUCGACCCCUUAUCGGGGUUGCGGACAGUGCCUGGUGGGUAGUUUGACUGGGGCGGUCUCCUCCCAAAGAGUAACGGAGGAGCACGAAGGUGGGCUAAUCACGGUUGGACAUCGUGAGGUUAGUGCAAUGGCAUAAGCCCGCUUGACUGCGAGAAUGACAAUUCGAGCAGGUGCGAAAGCAGGUCAUAGUGAUCCGGUGGUUCUGAAUGGAAGGGCCAUCGCUCAACGGAUAAAAGGUACUCCGGGGAUAACAGGCUGAUACCGCCCAAGAGUUCAUAUCGACGGCGGUGUUUGGCACCUCGAUGUCGGCUCAUCACAUCCUGGGGCUGAAGUCGGUCCCAAGGGUAUGGCUGUUCGCCAUUUAAAGUGGUACGCGAGCUGGGUUUAGAACGUCGUGAGACAGUUCGGUCCCUAUCUGCCGUGGGCGUUGGAAGAUUGAAGGGGGCUGCUCCUAGUACGAGAGGACCGGAGUGGACGAACCUCUGGUGUUCGGGUUGUGUCGCCAGACGCAUUGCCCGGUAGCUAAGUUCGGAAUCGAUAACCGCUGAAAGCAUCUAAGCGGGAAGCGAGCCCUGAGAUGAGUCUUCCCUGAUACUUUAAGUAUCCUAAAGGGUUGUCGGAGACUACGACGUUGAUAGGUCAGGUGUGUAAGUGCUGUGAGGCAUUGAGCUAACUGAUACUAAUUGCCCGUGAGGCUUAACCAUACAACACCUAAGGGGUUU
rnacentral:rRNA from 1 species